GAAAGAAGUUCUUUUCUUCACGUUCCUCUGGAAGAGUUAGUGCCGAACGCCCCUUGGUGCUGUUGCUGGGCAGCAGGGAAUAAAGUCUGGCCUCAUCCUCUUGACAGCCACCCUUUCAGUACUGAUAAGCAUUGAGAAGAUGCCCUCCAGGCUAAACAGCAGUAGGUGUAUCAGCCUUUCCUGCCGAGGAAGAUGCUCCUCCAGGCCCCUCAUCGUCUUUGUAGUCCACUGCUGGACUCUCCAGCAGUUCCCUGUCUUUCUUGAGCUGCGGAGCCCAGAACUGGACACAGGACUCCAGAUGUGGCCGCACCGGGGCAGAGUAGAGGGAGAGGAGAACGUCUUUUGCCCAGCUGGCCACGCUCUUUGGAAUGCACCUCGGGCUGCCAUUGGUCUUCUUGGCCACAAGGGCACUCUGAUGGCUCCCGACCGCCCCACUGGCCACCAGGGAACCCACGUCCCUCUCCAGAGAGCUCCUCUCCAGCAGGUCAGCUCCUAACUCUACAGAAGCGUGCGCCCAUUCCUCCCCAGGUGUAGGGCCCUGCACUCAGCCUUGCUGAACCUCAGCAAGUUCCUCUGUGCCCAAUUCUCCAGGCUGUCCACGGGCUGCCGAGCAGCCUUUGCACAGCCACUGGGAAGGUGCUGAGGAGGAGAAAACCCUGUGAUCCCAGCGCCCAGUUCUGCCCACCUCAGCAUAGACAAACGGAGAAGAAGCAGCUGACACAGAAAUGUGUGUGGGAUGGUUGGGUUUAUUGUGUUGGAUAGUUGGGACUAGAGCCAGCACAUGGUGCUGGCACACGGCUGUUGCAGGCUAAUGGGGCAGAAGCGUGGAUGAGGGCUCCGACGUUGGAUCCAGGAGUGACUUCAUGCCCGGAGUAGCCCGUGCUGUUGGAACUGCUUCCGUGUUAUCUAUUUUUGGUCUGACUGUGGGGAGUGGGCGGUGGAUGUUGGAUCGAUGGUGGACCCAGGAGUGACUUCAUGCCUGGAGAGCUGCCACUGUUGGAACAGCUUUCAUGCCACCUUUUGGGGGGCUGGCUGGGGGGGGUGGAUGCUGGCUUUGAUGUUGGAUGCAGGAGGUCUUCAUGCCCUGGAUAGCCCUCGCUGUUGGAACUGCUUCCCUCUCAUCAUUUUUCGGGCUGACUUGGGGGGGUGGGAUGUUGGCUUGCAUGUUCGACCCAGGAGGUCUUCAUGCCUGGGAUAGCCCCCACUGUUGGAACUGGCUCCCGCAGCCUCCUCAGUGCCGGCUGUGGACAUGUGGCACUCGACGUGCCACUGAGGAAUGGCUUCGCAUGCGGGCCUCCCCUAACUGCCUGGGCCAUUCCCUGCUGUCUGGACGCAGGGAAGCCCUCAAGGUCCUCCGUGUCGCCGGUCUGCUGGUGCUGCGAGUUCUCUUCUGAGCAGCUGGAGAUGGUGUUCGCCUGCUGCGCUGAGGUCUUCUGGUCCGGCUCUGGGAAGGUGGGGCCUGACCUUGCAGCGGGGAGC
ensembl:lncRNA